UACGUAGGGUGCAAGCGUUGUCCGGAAUUAUUGGGCGUAAAGAGCUCGUAGGCGGUUUGUCGCGUCUGCUGUGAAAACUCGGGGCUCAACUCCGAGCUUGCAGUGGGUACGGGCAGACUAGAGUGCGGUAGGGGAGACUGGAAUUCCUGGUGUAGCGGUGGAAUGCGCAGAUAUCAGGAGGAACACCGGUGGCGAAGGCGGCCUUCUGGACAGCGACUGACGCUCAGACGCGAAAGCGUGGGGAGCAAACAGG
rnacentral:rRNA from 1 species